GUGUCAGCAGCCGCGGUAAUACGAACUGUGCAAACGUUAUUCGGAAUCACUGGGCUUAAAGGGUGCGCAGGCGGUCUGCUAAGCAGGGUGUGAAAGCCCCCGGCUCAACCGGGGAAUUGCGCCCUGAACUGGCAGGCUUGACUGAGAUAGAGGUGUGGGGAACUUCCGGUGGAGCGGUGUAAUGUGUUGAUAUCGGAAGGAACGCCAGAGGCGAAAGCGCCACACUGGGUCUCAACUGACGCUGAGGCACGAAAGCCAGGGGAGCAAACGGGAUUAGAUACCCCCGUAGUCC
rnacentral:rRNA from 1 species